GCAGUCGAACGAUGAACUGGAGCUUGCUCCAGGGAUUAGUGGCGAACGGGUGAGUAACACGUGAGUAACCUGCCCUUGACUCUGGGAUAAGCGCUAGAAAUGGCGUCUAAUACCGGAUACGAGCUUCAGCCGCAUGGCUAGGAGUUGGAAAGAAUUUUGGUCAAGGAUGGACUCGCGGCCUAUCAGCUAGUUGGUGAGGUAAUGGCUCACCAAGGCGACGACGGGUAGCCGGCCUGAGAGGGUGACCGGCCACACUGGGACUGAGACACGGCCCAGACUCCUACGGGAGGCAGCAGUGGGGAAUAUUGCACAAUGGGCGAAAGCCUGAUGCAGCAACGCCGCGUGAGGGAUGACGGCCUUCGGGUUGUAAACCUCUUUUAGUAGGGAAGAAGCGAAAGUGACGGUACCUGCAGAAAAAGCACCGGCUAACUACGUGCCAGCAGCCGCGGUAAUACGUAGGGUGCAAGCGUUGUCCGGAAUUAUUGGGCGUAAAGAGCUCGUAGGCGGUUUGUCGCGUCUGCUGUGAAAUCUGGGGGCUCAACCCCCAGCCUGCAGUGGGUACGGGCAGACUAGAGUGCGGUAGGGGAGAUUGGAAUUCCUGGUGUAGCGGUGGAAUGCGCAGAUAUCAGGAGGAACACCGAUGGCGAAGGCAGAUCUCUGGGCCGUAACUGACGC
rnacentral:rRNA from 1 species